CCAAAAAAAAAAAAAAAAAAAAAUUCCUCAUGUGACCCCUUUAUUGCACAACCCACCACAACACAAAGUCUAACCCAGUGUACAUAAUGUUGCUAUGUAAAUGUUAACCACACCACUAACAAUCUAAUCCUUUCUAGACUCGAGGAUUUGAAAUACCCAAAUAGCACAUAUUGCUUGACCUCUUGACCUGGCUUCACAUGUCCAUCAAUGCUCUCAUAUUAUUUCUAAGUCUUAACUUUCUCUUUCCAAAUCGGAAAGAAAAAAUAGAUAUUUUCUACUUCUAUUUUUGGAGCUAACGUACAUCAUUUUCAAUCGGUUGAAUUGCAUGUUUGCAUUUGUUGAUCGACACCUUUGAUGUUUCGACAGGCGCCGGCCGACGAGAUCGCUCCUCUUUGACACACCCAAAAGUGUGGAAAGAAUGUGGGAAAUUCCACUGCAAUAUGCAAGUCCUUGACAACUGGGUUCCUACCUACAGAGUGAUUCACCACUAUUCCCAUGGAAACCUGAAGGGCAGAGAAAAUGUGAUGAAGCAGUAAGACAAAGACGUGUCUUCAAAGUUUAUCUACACACAAGCAGGUGAUGCAGGCGAGCCAAAGCUAACCGGCACUAGCGACGGCGCCAUCCCCGAAAAUGCCUCCAAAAGGCAGAGGUGAAACUCGAUGAGGACAACAGCGGAAGAAGGCGAUCAAGGUACUGCGACAAAACCGUGGUUAGCAGUGGUCUGUAUGGCCGACGCCGUCACUCUGCUCGAAAUCCUUUCCUUCCUAGAAUCAAAUAAUUGCUCCCAUUAUCCUGAUUAGCAGUUUAAUACUGCCAUUGACUCAACCAGAAACCUGGAUGCUAACUUCCAGACCAUCAAAUAUGAUCUCAUUCAAUUCACUCAGCCUUUCGCUCUGCAAUUAUUGCUAUUUGAAAAACUUGCGUCCUCACUGAAAGGGACUUUAAAUUAGAAGGCUAAAUGAACGGGGGGGAAAAAAGAAACGUGGGUGGGUGGAUGGCUUUUGUUUGUGGACAGAGCUAUUACAUUUAAGGUGGAGAAAACUCUGGGGUAUUUAUUAAACACUGCAAAAAAAUACAAAUGAUCAUAUGCAGAACAACAAAUACAGAUUUAUGAAAGCAAUAAAUUGAAGACAAAAAUGAGUCGUCAAAAGCAAGUUCAUCUUCUUGCAAUCAAACCUUCUUGCAGUGUGCUAUGAAUACAUAAAUAG